rnacentral:lncRNA from 1 species
UCAAAAUCCCAGAUGGCUUUCUGCAGAAAUUGACAAGCUGCUAUUAUUCAUAUGGAAAUGUAAUGAACCCAAAACAGUUAAAAAAAUCUCAAAACAGAAAACAAGUCAGAAACUCACACUUCUAAUUUCAACACUGCCAAGUUACAGUAAUUAAAACAGUAUGGUACUAGAAUAAAGGCAGACAUGGAGAUCAGUGGAAUAGAAUUCAUAGACCAGAAACAAACCUUUACUUUUAUGGUCAACUGAUUUUCAAUUAAAACAAAAAAGUGCCAAGACAAUUCAAGGAGAAAGAACAAUUUUUUCAACAAAUAGUGUUGAAACAACUGGGUAUCCACAUUGUACUUCAAUAAGAAAAUGAAAAGAAAACCCAAAGAAUGAGAGAAAAUAUCUGCAAUCAUACAUCUUAUAGGGGAACAGUAUAC